GACAGAGGGUGCAAACGUUGUUCGGAAUUACUGGGCGUAAAACGCGUGUAGGUGGCAAGGCAAGUCGGGUGUGAAAGCCCUGGGCUCAGCCCAGGAAGUGCACUCGAUACUGCCUCGCUAGAGUCCCGGAGAGGUUGGUGGAACUCUCGGUGUAGAGGUGAAAUUCGUAGAUAUCGAGAAGAACACCGGUGGCGAAGGCGGCCAACUGGACGGUGACUGACACUGAGACGCGAAAGCGUGGGGAGCAAACAGG
rnacentral:rRNA from 1 species